AGAGUUUGAUCCUGGCUCAGAACGAACGCUGGCGGCAUGCCUAAAACAUGCAAGUCGAACGGGUGUAGCAAUACACCAGUGGCAGACGGGUGCGUAACACGUGGGAACCUACCCAGAGGUUCGGAAUAGCUGCGGGAAACUGCAGGUAAUACCGGAUGUUGCCUGAGGGCUAAAGGAGCAAUCCGCCUUCGGAGGGGCCC
rnacentral:rRNA from 1 species